UUUAAUAUUUCAUUUACUACUGGGGACUCACCUUUUUCAGAAGAAUGUAAGAUUUGAGGCACUAUCGUGCAUUAAGAUUUCAUGUCUGACUGUAGCAGUAUUGUAAAGGCAGGCGUUGGAGCUGCUCAGCCUGGGAGCCAGGAGGGCCCUUUCUUUUUUCCUACAGCCAAAACUGGAGCUGAAGGCCCAGAACGCAGCGGGGUGUAUCUGCAAAAGAGAACCAUACGUUUCUUCAGGUUCUCAAGUGUUGGUGCCUUCUGCUACCAAAUGUACGGGCAGCAGCAGAGACCUGGGGAAGAUUCUCUGUGCUGCUGUAUGAAAAAAGGGCAUGGAAGGAAAGAGAUUUCCAGUGGGGUGGGUGAGUUAUCACAACGUGGGAGAAAGCAAACAAAGCAACAUUCUAAAUUUUACAUAGUUGCUGCUAUUGCACUUUUCUUUCAUGAUAAUACUGGUGUUGUGUUUUGUUGUUGUUGUUGUUGUUGUUUUUAAUUCCCCAUGCUACUAAUUUUCCAAUCACUCCUUAGUGGGUGUUUCCUUCUCGGUAUUUCCUUUUAAGUCAGAGCUGAAUUUUUGCACUCUAACCUAGGCUCCUUUUAAACAUGCAGCAGCUCCUGUCUUUCCAGUAUUGGCCUUGUUUUUCUUCCUGGAGAGUCUGUUGGUACAUUUUUACCCCUUUCUAUGAUAUUCCUCAGGGGCUGAAGCUCUCAGAUAAUCUAAAAUUCUCUCCUGACACAGUAAGGUGGUUUUCAGCCAACUUCCAUUGCCCUGACUUCCACACCAGACAUAGAGUAGGAAGCAGCCUCCACACUCCUCGGUCCCAUUGUCCCAUUCAGAACUGUAUCAUUAGGGGGCUGGACUCGAUGAUCUCUUGAGGUCCCUUCCAACCCCUGCAAUUCUGUGAUUUCCCAGCUGAUGUAAGCUGGUUAGGUUUUGCCACCAGCUUUGCUUGGGUGAGGCCUGUGGGAAGAAGGACCUUUGGAAGAGCUGGGACGCAGAACAUUUCAUGGUGCAACAGAGCCUUCUUCUGUUAAAAGUUUUAGUUUUGUAGCUCCGGUGGGCUGGUGCCUUGGACUGGAGCAGAUGCUACAAGGAUGGAGCACAGACUCAGAUGGGUUGUUAGAGUUAGGGUAGUAUGAUUUGGUUGUAGUUAGACUUGAUAAUCUUGAAGGUCUUUUCCAACCUGAGCAAUUCUGUGAUUCUAUGAUUUAGCUCCCAGAAGUCACUGAAGCAGAAGGCUUCCACAAGUCCUUCUGUCUGGGGGCAUGUUGAAAUGCACCCCUCCGGCUUCAAGGUUUUAUAAGAAGAUGCUUUUCCAGGAGAGGGCAAGCAGGUUUUUACCAGCAGUUUCAGUUUCAGAUCUUAUUGAGGGGUUCUGGCAUUUGCAUAACUUCCCACAGAAACUGAAUCAAUGCUUGACAUCAUGGAACAGAAUUUCUGGCAUGAUUUAGCAUUAGUAAGCCACUAGUCAUCAGCAUACUGCCCUUCCCCUGUGUUUGACAUCUUAAUACAGUCGGCCUCAUGGACACACAUGUUCAGCAGCAGCAGAUUCUUGUGCUGCUUAUGAACUGUUUAACACGGGCUUGC
ensembl:lncRNA